rnacentral:misc_RNA from 1 species
GAAAUGCGAUAAGUAAUGUGAAUUGCAGAAUUCAGUGAAUCAUCGAAUCUUUGAACGCACCUUGCGCUCCUUGGUAUUCCGAGGAGCAUGCCUGUUUGAGUGUCAUUAAAUUCUCAACCUCACCAAUUUUGUCAUGAAGUUGUGUGUAGGCUUGGAGGUGGAGGGUUUUUGCAGGUCCACAACAGUGGUCUGCUCCUCUGAAAUGUAUUAGUGGGUUAGGCCCCUAAUCUAUUGGUGUGAUAACUAUCUACUCCAUGGAUUGGGUUGGCUUAUCAUAAGACCUGCUUCGAACCGUCCUUCUCUGGACAACUCUUGACAUUUUUGACCUCAAAUCAGGUAAGACUACCCGCUGAACUUAA